rnacentral:rRNA from 1 species
GAUGAACGCUGGCGGCGUGCCUAAUACAUGCAAGUCGAGCGAACAGACGAGGAGCUUGCUCCUCUGACGUUAGCGGCGGACGGGUGAGUAACACGUGGAUAACCUACCUAUAAUACUGGGAUAACUUCGGGAAACCGGAGCUAAUACCGGAUAAUAUAUUGAACCGCAUGGUUCAAUAGUGAAAGACGGUUUUGCUGUCACUUAUAGAUGGAUCCGCUCCGCAUUAGCUAGUUGGUAAGGUAACGGCUUACCAAGGCGACGAUGCGUAGCCGACCUGAGAGGGUGAUCGGCCACACUGGAACUGAGACACGGUCCAGACUCCUACGGGAGGCAGCAGUAGGGAAUCUUCCGCAAUGGGCGAAAGCCUGACGGAGCAACGCCGCGUGAGUGAUGAAGGUCUUCGGAUCGUAAAACUCUGUUAUUAGGGAAGAACAAAUGUGUAAGUAACUAUGCACGUCUUGACGGUACCUAAUCAGAAAGCCACGGCUAACUACGUG